rnacentral:rRNA from 1 species
AGUUCGGAUUGUAGGCUGAAACUCGCCUACAUGAAGCUGGAGUUACUAGUAAUCGCAGAUCAGAAUGCUGCGGUGAAUGCAUUCCCGGGUCUUGUACACACCGCCCGUCACACCACGGAAGUUGGGGGCGCCCGAAGCCACUUAGCUAACCCUUUUGGGAAGCGAGUGUCGAAGGUGAAAUCAAUAACUGGGGUGAAGUCGUAACAAGGUAGC